AAAUUGCAAACAUUUUUCCAAAGCUCCGCUGCAAUUUUGUUUGCCCUUAGAUUUGCGAAUGGAAACUGUAUGACUAUCGGAGCCAAAAAUCGGUGUAUGAAAACUGAAACGUGUGCCUUCCCCAUUCCGAUCGGUACGGAUCCGAUUGUUUGGGGGCAUCGACGGAAGGUACUCUGAUCGGAUAAAUGUGUCCCGGCGUUUAUUCGAAAAUAAUGGAUGGCAAAAAAACGAUUUUUUGAACAAACUACCACUAAGAAAAGUUGUUGGUAAAAGGAAUUCCUAGCAGAGACAUGCAUGUACUAUCCAAGAGUUUUCCAUACCGAAACUUCUUAACUUCAAGUGUACUUUAAGUUAACGCAACAGCCAACCACCUGGGGAUUUGCGUGUCUUCAAACGACAAGGUAACUAGUUAAUUACCAAUAAACUUUGCACAGUGAUUCCUGCUAUAUUUUCUCUCGUAAUCUUUUGCAGCUGACCGCUUUGAACGGAUAUGCUAUUUAGCUUCAGCCUCACUGUAUGGACUGCACUUUAACCUGAAAAUGUUAACUAUGAAGCUUUACAGUGAAUCCAAACGCGCAAAAUGAAUGAGAAUGUGGUGUGACUCACCGAACUUGAAUAUAUCUACUAAAGGUUAAUUCAAUAAAACUGUUAAAAUGUGAGCCAAAUAUCAAUUGGAAAAAUUACUUCCAUCAUAUAAAAUACCGAAAGCUGAUGGAGAAAA